GCUUCCUUGGCUCAGCUGGUAGAGCGUUGGUCUCAUAAAUUAUGAGCAAUAUACUGUAUUGCGCCAUCCAAAGGUCGUGAGUUCGAGCCUCACAGGGAGCA